UUGAUUUGCGAGUUUCAAGUGAACAUAAUCCAGUUUUCAGAUUGUUCUAUAUUUUCCAUAGAUUUUUUUAAGUUUUAUUUCACAAGAAAAAUGGUAUCCUUUGGCGGUGUGGCAAAACUAUUGAGUAGCUUUGAGUGCAGUGCCAGUUCGUGGGUCAAAGUCGUAAAUCCCGGAUGGUACGAGGCUCGUGAGAUUCCGAAGACCAUCCUAAUCCAGAAAGUGCAACAUGAGCCCCAAAAUACCAGGGUGAUACGCCAGCGACCCCAAACCGCGGAGCCGCCCAAGAAAUCCACUAGUCAAAAGCGCCAACUUAAUCUUUAAGCUCUAAGAAGAUAGGAAAAUAAUGACUCAUUGAUUUAAAUGUUUUAAUCGAAUGUACAUUGUAUUGAGUUGUCUCGCAGUCGUCAUCGAUUUCGGUAUUUUGUCUGCUCCGCGACACGGCCACACUGAGUCGGUGCCGAGUUUUUGCUUCGCGAGCAGGUGGUGUUGUCCAAUCAGAAUCGCCGUCGACGGCACGAAUAACAGAAAAAAAUUCCAAUAGAACAGCCGAGGGCGAUUAUUUAUGUGUGUUCAUGUUAAAUGUUAAAUGCAAAAUUACGCGACGCACGCUGCGCCCACGCGAUUUCGAAUCCAUAUCCGAUUGUUAAGUGCAAACACACACACACCAACCAAGUGAAUAUAAUAUGUAAGCGAAAGGCAAGAAGCCAGCAACAAAGCGCCAGUGAUAAGCGCAAUAAUAUAAAUGCAAUAUAGUAUAAAUUCAACGUGAAAAGAAAUCUCGCCAGAGAAAUACAAAAAAAAAGCGGAGGCAGCGACAAAUGGAAAUCAAGCAAAAUGAAGAAGAGCGGAGAGAUAGAAAUCGUAAUGUGUAAGCGGGACCAGAGCGUAUGAAAAAAUCGAAAAAAAAAACGGUGGAGCGAAGAUUAAAUAAAUUUACAAGUGUGUUUUGUAUUUGA